rnacentral:sRNA from 1 species
UGGGCGCAAGGACGAUUCGGCGCUGCCGU